rnacentral:rRNA from 1 species
AACGAACGCUGGCGGCAUGCCUAACACAUGCAAGUCGAACGAGACCUUCGGGUCUAGUGGCGCACGGGUGCGUAACGCGUGGGAACCUGCCCUUAGGUUCGGAAUAACUCCCCGAAAGGGGUGCUAAUACCGGAUAAUGUCUUCGGACCAAAGAUUUAUCGCCUUUGGAUGGGCCCGCGUUGGAUUAGCUAGUUGGUAGGGUAAAAGCCUACCAAGGCGACGAUCCAUAGCUGGUCUGAGAGGAUGAUCAGCCACACUGGGACUGAGACACGGCCCAGACCCCUACGGGAGGCAGCAGGGGGGAAUAUUGGACAAGGGGCGAAAGCCUGACCCAGCAAGGCCGGGUGAGUGAUGAAGGCCUUAGGGUUGUAAAGCUCUUUUACCCGGGAUGAUAAUGACAGUACCGGGAGAAUAAGCCCCGGCUAACUCCGG